GACAGAGGGUGCAAACGUUGUUCGGAAUUACUGGGCGUAAAGCGCGUGUAGGCGGCAGGGCAUGUCGGAUGUGAAAUCCCGUGGCUCAACCACGGAAGUGCACCCGAAACUGCCCAGCUUGAGUCUCGGAGAGGAAGGCGGAAUGCUUGGUGUAGAGGUGAAAUUCGUAGAUAUCAAGCGGAACACCGAUGGCGAAGGCGGCCUUCUGGACGAUGACUGACGCUGAGACGCGAAAGCGUGGGGAGCAAACAGG
rnacentral:rRNA from 1 species